rnacentral:rRNA from 1 species
UGGGGAAUUUUGGACAAUGGGCGCAAGCCUGAUCCAGCCAUGCCGCGUGCAGGAUGACGGUCCUAUGGAUUGUAAACUGCUUUUGUACAGGAAGAAACAGUUCUACGUGUAGAACCUUGACGGUACUGUAAGAAUAAGGAUCGGCUAACUCCGUGCCAGCAGCCGCGGUAAUACGGAGGAUCCAAGCGUUAUCCGGAAUCAUUGGGUUUAAAGGGUCCGUAGGCGGUUAGAUAAGUCAGUGGUGAAAGCCCAUCGCUCAACGGUGGAACGGCCAUUGAUACUGUCUGACUUGAAUUAUUAGGAAGUAACUAGAAUAUGUAGUGUAGCGGUGAAAUGCUUAGAGAUUACAUGGAAUACCAAUUGCGAAGGCAGGUUACUACUAAUGGAUUGACGCUGAUGGACGAAAGCGUGGGUAGCGAACAGGAUUAGAUACCCACGUAGUCCCUGAGCGGGCUGGCAAGGCGCAU